CGCGUAGGCGGCUCGUUAAGUGUGAAGUGAAAUCCCCAGGGCUCAACCCGGGAACUGCUUUACAUACUGGCGGGCUGGAGGAUUGGAGAGGCUUGUGGAAUUCCUGGUGUAGCGGUGAAAUGCGUUGAUAUCAGGAGGAACACCCAUGGCGAAGGCAGCAAGCUGGCCAAUUUCUGACGCUGAGGCGCGAAAGCGUGGGUAGCAAACAGGAUUAGAUACCCUGGUAGUCCACGCCCUAAACGAUGGAUGCUAGGCGUGAGGGGUAUCGACCCCCCUCGUGCCGCAGCUAACGCACUAAGCAUCCCGCCUGGGGACUACGGCCGCAAGGUUGAA
rnacentral:rRNA from 1 species